GACGAACGCUGGCGGCGUGCUUAACACAUGCAAGUCGAACGGAAAGGCCCUGCUUUUGUGGGGUGCUCGAGUGGCGAACGGGCGAGUAACACGUGAGUAACCUGCCCUUGACUUUGGGAUAACUUCAGGAAACUGGGGCUAAUACCGGAUCGGAGCUCCUGCUGCAUGGUGGGGGUUGGAAAGUUUCGGCGGUUGGGGAUGGACUCGCGGCUUAUCAGCUUGUUGGUGGGGUAGUGGCUUACCAAGGCUUUGACGGGUUGACGGCCUGAGAGGGUGACCGGCCACAUGGGGACUGAGAUACGGCCCAGACGCCUACGGGAGACAACAGUGGGGAAUAUUGCACAAUGGGCAGAAGCCUAAUGCAACAGCGCCGCGUGCGGGAUGACGGCCUUCGGGUUGUAAACCGCUUUCGCCUGUGACGAAGCGUGAGUGACGGUAAUGGGUAAAGAAGCACCGGCUAACUACGUG
rnacentral:rRNA from 1 species